GUCAGUGCAGUGUAGUGGUUUGAGUGUUAGACUACAACUCUGGAGACCAGGGUUCAAUUCCCAGGUUGGCC
rnacentral:tRNA from 1 species